CUCAAUAAAACUUGACAUACUUUACUCUAAACAGAUCAGACAGCCUAUCAUCUUAUUUAUAAUAUACUUAGUCAGUCUUAACAUUAUACGUGCACAACAUUAAUGUCAACAAUAAAUUAUAAAAUUUAAAUAAUAAGCCAUCAUUAAUUAAUAGUUCUUACAUAUGAUAAAUAUCAAAAUGCAGGGUUAUAUAAAAUACUCUUAACAUUCAUUAAUCUAUCAAUAGUAAUAACUAUGAUUCAUCACUGAGAACAAGAUAAAAAGGCUGUAUUUUUUUCUACUGCACUAUAUUCUGACAGUAACUUACACUGGAAACUACUUCCAAUCUUUAAACUUUGUUCACACUAUUUCGUUAUCUCUCAGGUGUUAGUAAAAAUAUGAAUACAAAAUUGAUUAUUGUGAGCAUAUGUCUUUCAUAUCUUGUAGUUGUUAUAUCAGCUGAUCCUGAUGACAUUGUAGAGGACACAUACAGCAACCUGGUUACUAUAAAAAUGAUAAGGCUUUGUCGCCAACUGAAAGGUGGAAUGAGGAGCUACUGUUUGAUACAAGUGAUGAAUCGACUAGGAUAUGAUGUAAACAUGCCAACAUUCAACGAUAUAGUGCCCUCAUAUUAACAGAAAUAUAAUGAAGAAGAAAAUAUAAACUGCUUAAUAUGUACUCGGUGUUUUUUUACAUUUAACUGCCUGUUUAAUGUUUAAGUUUUUUCUUUUAUUAUGAAAAUUAAACUUUAAUUAAA